rnacentral:rRNA from 1 species
GACGAACGCUGGCGGCGUGCCUAACACAUGCAAGUCGAACGGUCCGGCACUCAACCGACCCUCAGUCUAGCUGUAGGUGAAGUUGAGUGCCGGAUAGUGGCGGACGGGUGAGUAACGCGUGGGCAACCAACCCUGUACAGUGGGAUAACACCGGGAAACCGGUGCUAAUACCGCAUGACACCUAGAUGGUGCAUACUGUUUAGGUUAAAAGGAUUUAACCGGUACAGGACGGGGCCCGCGUCCCAUUAGCUGGUUGGUGAGGUAACGGCUCACCAAGGCGACGAUGGGUAGCCGACCUGAGAGGGUGACCGGCCACACUGGGACUGAGACACGGCCCAGACUCCUACGGGAGGCAGCAGUGGGGAAUAUUGCGCAAUGGACGGAAGUCUGACGCAGCGACGCCGCGUGAGCGACGAAGGCCUUCGGGUCGUAAAGCUCUGUUCUUGGGGACGAAGGAAAGUGACGGUACCCAAAGGAGAAAGACCCCGGCUAACUACGUAGCCAGCAGCCGCGGUAAUAGUCACGUCGCG